rnacentral:rRNA from 1 species
AUUGAACGCUGGCGGCAGGCCUAACACAUGCAAGUCGAACGGUAACAGGAAGCAGCUUGCUGCUUUGCUGACGAGUGGCGGACGGGUGAGUAAUGUCUGGGAAACUGCCCGAUGGAGGGGGAUAACUACUGGAAACGGUUGCUAAUACCGCAUAACGUCGCAAGACCAAAGAGGGGGACCUUAGGGCCUCUUGCCAUCGGAUAUGCCCAGAUGGGAUUAGCUAGUAGGUGGGGUAACGGCUCACCUAGGCGACGAUCCGUAGCUGGUCUGAGAGGAUGAGCAGCCACACUGGAACUGAGACACGGUCCAGACUCCUACGGGAGGCAGCAGUGGGGAAUAUUGGACAAUGGGCGCAAGCCUGAUGCAGCCAUGCCGCGUGUAUGAAGAAGGCCUUCGGGUUGUAAAGUACUUUCAGCGGGGAGGAAGAGCGUAAGGUUAAUACCUUGCCUGAUUGACGGUACCCGCAGAAGAAGCACCGGCUAACUUCGUG